CGCGAGGGCGGGCAGCCAGUUCGGCGGCACCUAGUCGCGCACAGAGGGGUGGGCCCUCGCGCUCGGGAGGCAGUGGCGUCCUCGUCAAGGGUCGGGGAGUUUCGGAGACACACGGCAAUGAUUGGAGUAGCAGCGGCGGCGCGAGGGCCCCUGUAGGUGGCUCGUGCCUCACGCCCAGCAGCUGUAGCAGGUGUGUGCACUGCUUGGAAGAAUUUAAGGGGAAAAAAUGUUUCCCUUGAAGGAUGCUGUGAUGGGUGCCUCCACUUUCUUUGCUUCAGCUCUGCCACACGAUGUUUGUGGAAGCAAUGGUCUUCCUCUGACACCAAACUCCAUCAAAAUUUUGGGCCGUUUUCAAAUCCUUAAGACAAUCACUCAUCCCAGACUUUGUCAGUAUGUGGACAUUUCUAGAGGAAAGCAUGAGAGGCUGGUGGUGACUGCUGAACACUGUGAAAAGAGUCUGGAAGAUUUGCUGCGAGACAGGAAACCUGUGAGCUUUUCAAGGAUUUUACGCAUAGCAUUUGAGGUAUUGCAGGGUUUGCAAUAUAUGAACAAACAUGGAAUGGUCCACCGAGCACUCUCCCCUCACAAUAUUCUCCUGGAUCGAGAGGGACAUAUUAAAUUGGCUAAAUUUGGACUAUACCACAUGACAGCUCAUGGUGUUGAUGUUGAUUUUCCUAUAGGGUACCCAUCAUACCUGGCACCUGAAGUAAUUGCACAGGGAUUUGUCAAACCUAGUGAUCACACUCAGUGUGAGAAGCUGCUGCCUUCUGGCCCUAAAUCAGACGUGUGGUCUCUUGGUAUUAUAUUAUUUGAGCUUUGUGUGGGUAGAAAACUGUUCCAGAGCUUGGAUAUAGCUGAAAAACUAAAACUUCUGCUUACAUUAGGCUGCAUGGAUGACAUUGUAAUCGUAUUAGCUGAAGAACAUGGUUGUCUGGACAUCAUUAAGGAGCUUCCUGAAAAUGCCAUAGCUCUACUGAAGAAAUUCCUUACAUUUCAACCUUCCAAAAGGCCAACUCCAGACCAGUUACUGUGUGACAAUGUGUUCAGUGAAGUGGCCUCUGUAUACCCUCCCUUCCACAAACCUGCCAGUCUGUUCUCAUCCUCUCUGAGAUGUGCUAAUUUAACUCUUCCAGAGGACAUCACUCAGCUGUGUAAAGGUAAAGAUGAAGACUGUGACUACCUAGCAGAAAGAUCGAUUGAAGAGGUGUAUUAUCUCUGGUGUUUGGCUGGAGGAGACUUGGAGAAAGAACUUGUCAACAAGGAAAUCAUUCGAUCAAAACCACCCAUCUGCACGCUCCCCAACUUUUUGUUUGAAGAUGGUGAGAGCUUUGGGCAAGGACGAGAUAGAAGUUCUCUCCUAGAUGAUACAACUGUGAUACUGUCGCUGUGUCAACUCAGAAAUAGACUGAAAGAUGUUGGUGGGGAAGCAUUUUAUCCAUUGCUUGAGGACGAGCAGUCAAAUUUAUCCCAUUCAAACAGUAAUAAUGAGCUAUCUGCAGCGACCAAUCUUCCUCUGAUCAUCCGAGAGAGGGACACAGAGUACCAGCUACACAGAAUUGUUCUGUUUGACAGGCUACUGAAGGCUUAUCCAUACAAAAAAAAUCAAGUCUGGAAGGAAGCCAGAGUUGACAUUCCUCCACUUAUGAGAGGUUUAACCUGGGCUGCCCUGCUGGGUGUUGAGGGUGCCAUUCAAGCAAAGUAUGAUGCCAUUGAUAAGGACACUCCAAUUCCUACAGAUAGACAAAUUGAGGUUGAUAUUCCUCGCUGUCAUCAGUACGAUGAGCUGCUGUCAUCACCAGAGGGUCAUGCAAAGUUUAGACGGGUAUUAAAGGCAUGGGUAGUUUCCCAUCCUGAUCUUGUGUACUGGCAAGGUCUUGAUUCGCUUUGUGCACCAUUUCUGUACUUGAAUUUUAACAAUGAAGCUCUUGCAUAUGCCUGCAUGUCUGCUUUUAUUCCCAAGUACCUGUAUAACUUCUUCUUGAAGGAUAAUUCUCAUGUCAUUCAAGAAUACCUGACAGUGUUCUCCCAGAUGAUUGCAUUCCAUGACCCAGAGCUGAGUAACCAUCUCAAUGAAAUUGGCUUUAUUCCAGAUCUGUAUGCUAUUCCUUGGUUUCUCACAAUGUUUACACAUGUCUUUCCACUGCACAAGAUUUUUCAUCUGUGGGAUACAUUACUGCUUGGCAAUUCUUCCUUCCCAUUCUGUAUUGGAGUGGCUAUUCUGCAACAGCUGCGGGACCGGCUUCUGGCUAAUGGAUUCAAUGAAUGCAUUCUGCUCUUUUCAGAUUUACCAGAAAUUGACAUUGAACGUUGUGUCCGUGAAUCAGUCAACCUUUUUUGCUGGACCCCUAAGAGUGCAACAUACAGGCAACAUGCACAGCCUCCAAAGCAAGCCAGUGAGGGCAAUGGCUCAAGAGGUUCAAUGUCCUGCUUCACAACAGAUUAUCAGGAUGCACCUAAAAGUGACCUGUCUAGGGACUCUAUCCAGUUGAAUGACCUGAAGGCAGAAAUGUCACCGCGGAUUUCAGCAGAAGAUCUGAUUGACUUGUGUGAGCUGACGGGACCUAGUCACUUCAAAACGCCUACAAAGAAAACCAAAAAUAGCAAGCCAAAACUACUUGUAGUUGACAUCCGUAAUAGCGAAGACUUUAAUCGCGGCCACAUUUCAGGCAGCAUCAACAUUCCAUUUGGCUCAGCAUUCACUGCGGAAGGAGAGCUCGUCCAGUGCCCUGCUACUGCCACACUCCAGAGCUUCAAAGGAAGAGUUGUUGUGAUUGUAGGACAUGUGGUGAAGAGCACGGCUUCUUUUGCAGCUCAUCUAGUGCAAAUCAAAUAUCCAAGAGUCUGCAUUCUGGAUGGAGGCAUAAACAAGAUCAAGCCAACUGGUCUUCUGACGGUUCCUUCUCCACAGAUAUGAACCACUACAAAUUUUGAGAGAAUUUAAAGUUAGAGGGUUCUGUCGACUGUGUGUGAGCAUCAUAAACCCUAAGGGCAUUAAGACAUCUGCAGUAUACAAGAAAUCCAGAUUAUUAGUGUCUUUCCAUGUGGAUCUGGAGUGAAAGAGCUUUUGAUUUUAUCAUUUGACAUGGAACUUCAAUUGGACUGGAUGAAAAAUGUGAAGCUUUAAGUCUGGCAAGGGACUUCUUUCAGCAGCAAUGAAAUCUGCAUCGAGCAUUGUCAGAUUCCAGUAGAAAAGCAGUGUAGCUCAGCUUGCGAAACAAAUUGAUGUCAGAGAUGACUAUCUGUUUUUGGAAGAAGUUUAUAUAGUCUCCCAGAAUUCUACUCCAAGCAAAGUUGUUUCUGCAAACCCAGUUCAUUGAAUGAAAAUGGGUGCUAGAUGUUCAUGGUGGAACUUGCUGACUCUGAGUGCUACAGGUUUUCACAGCAGGACCAGUUAAAAUUCUACAGUUGUAACUCUCCGCAUUGAUUAAGGAGCGAGGUCGAUGGGAAGCAGUGCCGAGGAUGUCUCUACUCUUGGUGAAAACCACAAGGGAAAAAAAUCUCAUUAGCUCUUGGCCAGGGGACGAUAUGCAGCCAGAGCACUCUAUGUACACACAGCACGUUCCCCAUUAUACAGUACAGCUUGUAAUUGCUGAAUGCUUCUAGGCUGAUAUUGAAAGCCUGCCAAGCUGUCAAUCACAAUCUAAAGUGUAAAACAGCUUGGAAAGCCCCUGUGAGUGAAGAAGAGUCAGUCUGGCAGAAGAUUGGAAUAUUGAGCGUAAUACAGAUCUGUCAGUCUAUCAUCACUUGAAGAAAGAAUAUCGUUUAGGAGCAGCGAGUGCUCAGACUCUUCCCUCUGCGGCCUUUCCAUCUCACCACAAUAACUCUUGGUUUUUUACACUCACUCACUCACUCUGUUUUUUAGUUUCCUUUCCCUGACAUGUCUCUGUCUGUCCUUAGAUUGUAAACUCCUGGGGCCAGGGUGUUCCCUUCUUGAAUGUCUGCGAAGUGCCUAGUGCAUUUGGGUGGUACUGCAAACAAAUAAAAAUUAAUAAUUUAAGCCAUGUAUUGACAUUGUACUAGCCCAGUCACAUAUGAGUGGACCUUACGUGACAAAUAUUCUGAGGUCAAGCUGUCAUUUUGAGCUCAGCAGCUGCCUGAGCAGGAAAUUGAAUUGCAAACUCAUGGUGUUUCUUUGCACUCAUUUUCCCCUGCCUUGGGAGUUGGGGUUUUCCUUCCCCUCCAAAUGGAUUGCAAACCUCUUCAUCUGUCAUGUUUCAACAUCCUUUGAGAGCCCGGAUAUUUAUGCCAGAGGCUCAGUAUUUCGGUGCUACUUCCCCAUCCUCCUAUGGCAGUAUAGCUCCAUAUGGAGUGAUGAUGUCCCAGUCUCCCUAGCAGCAGCUAUCCAUAACUCACCCACCUCAGAGGCUUUGUGUGUGGAGGGGCAGUCCAUAAGAAUUAAGUUUGACAAGGUCAGUAUUAAUUCCCACACUGGCUUGGAGGAGCAGACUCCCACAGCAAAUUGCAUUUCCUGACUCCUUCCAUUUUCCUCCCAUCUGUGCCUCAUAACACAGGCGCACGCAUGCACACACAGACCAAACCAGGUGGAGAGUAAACACAGGGUUUCUGUUCCUGCUGCCUUUAUUGCUUUUUGUGUUCCCUAAGUGAAUGAACAUCAUUUUGGAAUCUAGUUAUGGUGCAAAUACUCAUGUUUUUCAAUUAAUCAUUUUCUGUCUAAGAUUAUGCCUUCAUAUUCAUUAUUUCAACAAACAUUCCUGCUACUAAACCCAUGCACAUAAAUAUUCAUGGAUAGUGAACACACAUAGUGCCUGAACAUAGGCAAAGCUCAUUCAAUUUUUUAUUUCAACAAAUAUUGUGACUGUUUUAUUAUAUUUGUCCAACUUCAGCUUUAGCUGGGCAUUCAGACAUCAAGUCUUCAGCUGGGGCAAAUAAGCGUAAGCUCCCUUGAAGUCAAUAGAUCUAUGCCAAUUUAACUAGUUGAGAAUAGCUAUAAACACUGUCAGUUUGCACAACCAAAGACUUGUCUUGAAUGGUAGAUCCCAAAUCAAUGGACAUGGUCAGUAUUUGCCUUUAUUUUGGUAGGUCUUACUUAGAUGAAAGAGUUUUGUUGGUGGUACACAACUUCCAGACAUCCUGACUUCACAUGCAUUCAAGGUCAGCCAACACAGACAGUGCUGUUAAAGCUUUACACAUCACUUCUUUGACUGGGGGCUUAGCAAGAGGAUGGACUUUAGUUUGUGUCUCAAGAAUUCAAGACGUUUUGCAGGUUAAUAUGUGACAUUUUUUACAAGCUCUCUGCCAUCUACAACCAUGAAGCCUUAAUGUUCCACCUUUCCUGCAGGAAGGGAAUGUCUUUAUAGCUCAAUGUUAUUCACUUCCCUUAAUACAAGUGGAAUUUUGAAGGCUUUGGGAUUCUAAAUUCUAAUGGGAAACCCAACUUUAAAAAAACCAGAACUUUUAAAAUUGUAAUGAAGAGAAAAUAUCUUUGUGAGAAAAUAGCUUAUUUCCGGCUGUCUUUUCAAACACCACCACUUCAUUCUACAAAACAGGACCUGAUCCUGCAAUGCAGUGAGCACAGAUAGAGCCCUAGCCCAAGCAAAGCUCUGCUGAAGUCACUGAGACACACUGAGAUAUUGGGCAGCACAGAUCUCAACACAGGGCCAGGGCCUAAGGUUCCUCUUACCUUUUGUCCUUUUUUAAUGUUCCCUUUUUAUUUAUUAUUUGUUCAUCCCCAUUUCCCUCCUCUGUCCUUUCUUCCAUGCCCUUCUCUCUCCUAGAUGCAGGAGAGCACAGCAACAAGAGUGUGGCAGAAAAGGGCAGG